AGGCCCUUCGGGGUACUCGAGUGGCGAACGGGUGAGUAACACGUGGGUGAUCUGCCCUGCACUUUGGGAUAAGCCUGGGAAACUGGGUCUAAUACCGAAUACACCCUUCUGGCUGCAUGGUCUGGUUGGGGAAAGCUUUUGCGGUGUGGGAUGGGCCCGCGGCCUAUCAGCUUGUUGGUGAGGUUACGGCUCACCAAGGCGACGACGGGUAGCCGGCCUGAGAGGGUGACCGGCCACACUGGGACUGAGAUACGGCCCAGACUCCUACGGGAGGCAGCAGUGGGGAAUAUUGCACAAUGGGCGCAAGCCUGAUGCAGCGACGCCGCGUGAGGGAUGACGGCCUUCGGGUUGUAAACCUCUUUCGCCAGGGACGAAGCGCAAGUGACGGUACCUGGAGAAGAAGGACCGGCCAACUACGUGCCAGCAGCCGCGGUAAUACGUAGGGUCCGAGCGUUGUCCGGAAUUACUGGGCGUAAAGAGCUCGUAGGUGGUUUGUCGCGUUGUUCGUGAAAACUCACAGCUCAACUGUGGGCGUGCGGGCGAUACGGGCAGACUGGAGUACUGCAGGGGAGACUGGAAUUCCUGGUGUAGCGGUGGAAUGCGCAGAUAUCAGGAGGAACACCGGUGGCGAAGGCGGGUCUCUGGGCAGUAACUGACGCUGAGGAGCGAAAGCGUGGGGAGCGAACAGGAUUAGAUACCCUGGUAGUCCACGCCGUAAACGGUGGGUACUAGGUGUGGGUUUCCUUCCUUGGGAUCCGUGCCGUAGCUAACGCAUUAAGUACCCCGCCUGGGGAGUACGGCCGCAAGGCUAAAACUCAAAGAAAUUGACGGGGGCCCGCACAAGCGGCGGAGCAUGUGGAUUAAUUCGAUGCAACGCGAAGAACCUUACCUGGGUUUGACAUGCACAGGACGUGCCUAGAGAUAGGUAUUCCCUUGUGGCCUGUGUGCAGGUGGUGCAUGGCUGUCGUCAGCUCGUGUCGUGAGAUGUUGGGUUAAGUCCCGCAACGAGCGCAACCCUUAUCUUAUGUUGCCAGCGCGUAAUGGCGGGGACUCGUGAGAGACUGCCGGGGUCAACUCGGAGGAAGGUGGGGAUGACGUCAAGUCAUCAUGCCCCUUAUGUCCAGGGCUUCACACAUGCUACAAUGGCCGGUACAAAGGGCUGCGAUGCCGUGAGGUGGAGCGAAUCCUUUCAAAGCCGGUCUCAGUUCGGAUCGGGGUCUGCAACUCGACCCCGUGAAGUCGGAGUCGCUAGUAAUCGCAGAUCAGCAACGCUGCGGUGAAUACGUUCCCGGGCCUUGUACACACCGCCCGUCACGUCAUGAAAGUCGGUAACACCCGAAGCCGGUGGCCUAACCCCU
rnacentral:rRNA from 1 species